UAUAAUUAUCUUGGUCUAACUUAUACUGUUUAUUAUACCGCUAUUCGCAGGAAUAUCUUUCUCUGCUCUGAUUGCAACGCUGCCUCGUUCAAAAAUCAUAACACCGCCGCGGCCGCCACGUUUACCAGCCGGAGCCUCAAAUCAUGUCCCUUUGUGGUGAUAAAGAGGACACAGCCUGGUGUGAAGCUACAUUUAUUACGGAAGGAUGCCAGCCGGGAUCCGAACACGUCCGAUAUCAUCCAAGAGAAUGUGGCAGCUGAAGGGGGAGAGGCCAAGAAAGAGGCCAAGGGUGAAGACAUUUAGCCACCCCCCCUGAAGUACAUGGCAGCAUUCAACCUUCUUGGUGAGCUGCAGGAAUGUGCUCCCCAUUGCAGUGCACCAGCUCCAUGUACUGAUUUUGGGUGUGAACUUGAUGGGGUUGGAGGAAACUCGACUCGGCCAUCAAGCUCACCACAAUAUAACAUGAAAAGUGAAAAUUGCUGCACACAACAGUCUGCCGUCUGCACCGGGAGGCAAGGCAGCUCAAAGCCCAGGCUGUUACAACUCCUGGGCAGUUUUUGCCCAGAGCCAGCAAUUUUUUAGAU